GCAACCUUUAAUUUAGUCCUGAGAGAUUAGAAAGGUAAUACGAUAGCUCUGUAUAUAUUCACCAGAGUUUAAUAUGAUAAUUACAAUGAUGGUUAAAUGAUAUUAAUUUAAAAACCUUCUGCUCUCUAGCAGAAGGUUUUUUUUGU
rfam:Clostridium botulinum D str. 1873 CLG.Contig180, whole genome shotgun sequence.